rnacentral:ncRNA from 1 species
UGAGCUGGGUUUAGACCGUCGUGAGACAGGUUAGUUUAACCCUACUGAUUAUGUGUUGUUGCCAUGUUAAUCCUGCUCAGUAUGAGAGGAACCGCAGGUUCAGACAUUUGGUGAAUGUGCUUGGCUGAGGAGCCAAUGGGGCGAAGCUACUAUCUGUGGGAUUAUGACUGAAUACCUCUAAGUCAGAAUCCCACACAGGCAGAACGAUACAGCAGCACUGCGGGAGCAUCGGUUGGCACUGAAUAGCCGGCCUCCCCGUCUGUCGCUAUGCCUGCGGACUGGGGGGAGGGGGACCAGUGCCGAGAGCCAUUUGUUCCGGGAAACGGGGCAUGACCAGAAAGGGGGCUGCCCUCUUGCCUGUCUCGUCGAACGCAAGUUCAUGUGGAACCUGGCGCUAAACCAUUCGUAGACGACCUGCUUCUGGGUCGGGGUUUCCUAUGUAGCAGAGCAGCUCACUUGCUGCAAUCUAUUGAAAGUCAGCCCUCGACACAAGGGUUAGU